rnacentral:rRNA from 1 species
UACAGAGGGGGCAAGCGUUAUUCGGAAUUAUUGGGCGUAAAGGGCGCGUAGGCGGCCUGGCAAGUGGAUGGUGAAAUCCCUCGGCUUAACCGAGGAACUGCCAUCCAGACUGCUUGGCUUGAGACCGGGAGAGGUGAGUGGAAUUCCCAGUGUAGCGGUGAAAUGCGUAGAUAUCGAGAGGAACACCUGCGGCGAAGGCGGGUUGCUGGGCUGACACUGACGCUGAUGCGCGAAAGCGUGGGGAGCGAACAGG